CAAUGGAAUCAGGAAAAUGGAAAAGAGUGUUUCCCCGCAAAUAACAACCACAUGUUUGAGGGUUAGUUUGUCAUCCAAGUGAACCUCGCCGUUCGUGAUUUGAGACAUCAAAGUCUGAAGAGUAAAAUCAAGACCAAUUUCAUCAGUCGAAUAUAGUACAAUAUACGACGAAGACAUCAGGGGAGCACGUAAUGGAUCGACAUCAGGAGAGCACGUCAUGGAUCGACAUCAGGGGAGACAAUCAUGGAUCGACAUCAGGGGAGCACAUCAUGGAUCGACAUCAGGGGAGCACAUAAUGGAUUAAGUACAAUAUACGAAGAAGAAGACAUCAGUUAUUUCUUUUUCAAACGUAAUGGAAUUUCCUUGCACGCUGCUAUUAAUUUAUCAUUUGCAGUGUCACGCAUCAUGGAUGCAGAUUCGAUCAUGCGCAACCAUUUCAUGUCCUCUUUCCCUAGGGCAAUUUCCCUCAGUCUCACAUAAAUAGCAUGACACGAAUGUACAUUUGUAUCGACUGGUGCCCUCGGGCUCAAACUUCCAGGCAAAACCAAAAAAUUGAAGGCAUUCAGUAGUUCCACACGUUCAAACUUGAAAUUACAUCCCCUAGCUUUAGUGUUGUAGCUCGUACAAGCACGUUAUAAAUGGCCAAUUACGGGUUUUAAAGACAACAAGACCAUGCUACUCAGAAAGCGUUCAUUACCCAAACUCUUUAGUCGUACAAAACACCACAGGUUACAUUCAACUAUUCAUUUACACACAACACUACAUUCCUCCCCACCUUUAAAGAAAACUUGCAUAAAGUUAAAUUAAACAAAUUACUGAGCAACAUUUUAAAGGAAUAAGUAAUCAAAGUAAUUUGUUUCAAUGUCCAUGUAAAUAAAACACAAAACUUCACAGUCCUUAUAGAUUAAUCAAAUCUCCACUCUCAUAAUAACUCUGAUAAAAGUUUCUUUACUUAAACAUAUCAAGGAAAUCUAAAGUUUCACACAAUUGUUCAAAGCAUAAGUAUUUAUGUGGGAGGUAAGUCAUAAUGGUAAUAAUAAACAACUCACAUUCAACAUACACUCAUGGUUCAGGCAUAUAAUCAAAGAUUACUUGACUAGACAAUAAACAUUAGCAGCCAUAUGCUUAAUGGGAAAUCCUUUUGAUACUUUGUUUAAUUAUUAUACAACAAUAUAAUGUUAUUAACUUAAUCCUAAUGUCUUAAGUUUAAUAGCUUGUCAUUGCCUAUAAAUGAUCAUGGCGUAAAAUGAUUAUUAUUUUACAUUGAUAAAACAAUCAUUUAACAAUGUUAACAAUUUAAACAAAAAUUAAACUUAUAUCAAAACUUCCAAUGAUUUUUCAAAUACCAUGAUCUUGAAUAAAACAGA